rnacentral:lncRNA from 1 species
UCUAACCCAAAAUAACUUUAUACAAGCCAUUCACUGCCUCAAAGCAAUAGUUUUGGGUUCUUAUCCCAUUUGAGACCAAAUAUCAACAAGUCUUUCUUCUCACUUCUAAACAUUCUUCAUGCAUCUCUAGCACUUGUAAUCAAUCAAAUUCAUUGUAUUAUAACAUAUUCUAACCUAAAUUAACUUUAUACAAGUCAUUCACUGCCUCAAAGCAAUGGUUUUGGUUCUUAUCCCAUUUGGGACCAAAUAUCAACAAGUCUUUUUUCUUACUUUUAAACAUUCUUCAUGCAUCUCUAGCACUUGUAAUCAAUCAAAUUCAUUGUAUUAUAACAUUUUCUAACCCAAAAUAACUUUAUACAAGCCAUUCAUUGCCUCAAAGCAAUGGUUUUGGGUUCUUAUCCCGUUUGGGACCAAAUAUCAACAAGUUUUUCUUCUCA